GAAAUGCGAUAACUAAUGUGAAUUGCAGAAUUCAGUGAAUCAUCGAGUCUUUGAACGCACAUUGCGCCCCCUGGUAUUCCGGGGGGCAUGUCUGUCCGAGCGUCAUUGCUGCCCUCAAGCCCGGCUUGUGUGUUGGGCCCUCGUCCCCCGGCUCCCCGGGGACGGGCCCGAAAGGCAGCGGCGGCACCGCGUCCGGUCCUCGAGCGUAUGGGGCUUCGUCUUCCGCUCCGUAGGCCCGGCCGGCGCCCGCCGACGCAUUUAUUUGCAACUUGUUUUUUUCCAGGUUGACCUCGGAUCAGGUAGGGAUACCCGCUGAACUUAAGC
rnacentral:misc_RNA from 1 species